rnacentral:rRNA from 1 species
UACGUAGGGGGGCGAGCGUUGUCCGGAUUUAUUGGGCGUAAAGAGCGUGUAGGCGGCCAGGUAGGUCUGCUGUGAAAACUCGAGGCUCAACCUCGAGACGUCGGCGGAAACCAUCUGGCUAGAGUCCGGAAGAGGAGAGUGGAAUUCCUGGUGUAGCGGUGAAAUGCGCAGAUAUCAGGAAGAACACCCCGUGGCGAAGGCGGUUCUCUGGGACGGUACUGACGCUGAGACGCGAAAGCGUGGGGAGCGAACAGG